CGGUUUCAUAAUUUUCCAUUUCUCAGAUUUGUGGCUUCAAGUUCAAUCAAUUCCUAGCAAAUGAGAUAAUCUUCAAAUUUGCUUCAAAAGGUUUGAAAAUCAAUAUCAGCUCAAGAACAAGUAAUGACAGAGACACUAUUUGCUAUUGCAGAGCAAUUGG